rnacentral:rRNA from 1 species
AACAUCUAAGUACCCCGAGGAAAAGAAAUCAACCGAGAUUCCCCCAGUAGCGGCGAGCGAACGGGGAGGAGCCCAGAGCCUGAAUCAGUGUGUGUGUUAGUGGAAGCGUCUGGAAAGGCGCGCGAUACAGGGUGACAGCCCCGUACACAAAAAUACACAUAUUGUGAGCUCGACGAGUAGGGCGGGACACGUGGUAUCCUGUCUGAAUAUGGGGGGACCAUCCUCCAAGGCUAAAUACUCCUGACUGACCGAUAGUGAACCAGUACCGUGAGGGAAAGGCGAAAAGAACCCCGGCGAGGGGAGUGAAAAAGAACCUGAAACCGUGUACGUACAAGCAGUGGGAGCACGCUUAGGCGUGUGACUGCGUACCUUUUGUAUAAUGGGUCAGCGACUUAUAUUCUGUAGCAAGGUUAACCGAAUAGGGGAGCCGAAGGGAAACCGAGUCUUAACUGGGCGUUAAGUUGCAGGGUAUAGACCCGAAACCCGGUGAUCUAGCCAUGGGCAGGUUGAAGGUUGGGUAACACUAACUGGAGGACCGAACCGACUAAUGUUGAAAAAUUAGCGGAUGACUUGUGGCUGGGGGUGAAAGGCCAAUCAAACCGGGAGAUAGCUGGUUCUCCCCGAAAGCUAUUUAGGUAGCGCCUCGUGAAUUCAUCUCCGGGGGUAGAGCACUGUUUCGGCAAGGGGGUCAUCCCGACUUACCAACCCGAUGCAAACUGCGAAUACCGGAGAAUGUUAUCACGGGAGACACACGGCGGGUGCUAACGUCCGUCGUGAAGAGGGAAACAACCCAGACCGCCAGCUAAGGUCCCAAAGUCAUGGUUAAGUGGGAAACGAUGUGGGAAGGCCCAGACAGCCAGGAUGUUGGCUUAGAAGCAGCCAUCAUUUAAAGAAAGCGUAAUAGCUCACUGGUCGAGUCGGCCUGCGCGGAAGAUGUAACGGGGCUAAACCAU